rnacentral:rRNA from 2 species
UACGAAGGGGGCUAGCGUUGUUCGGAAUCACUGGGCGUAAAGGGCGCGUAGGCGGCUUGGCAAGUCAGGUGUGAAAGGCCUGGGCUCAACCCAGGAACUGCACUUGAGACUGCCUCGCUUGAGUCCGGGAGAGGAUGGCGGAAUUCCCAGUGUAGAGGUGAAAUUCGUAGAUAUUGGGAAGAACACCGGUGGCGAAGGCGGCCAUCUGGACCGGUACUGACGCUGAGGCGCGAAAGCGUGGGGAGCAAACAGG